GCGUCCAUUGUCUAAUGGAUAGGACAUAGGUUUUCUAAACCUUUGGUAUAGGUUCAAAUCCUAUUGGACGCA
rnacentral:tRNA from 1 species